rnacentral:rRNA from 1 species
AGGUUACUGCUAUCGGUGUUCGCCUAAGCCAUGCGAGUCAUAUGUUCGUAAGAACAUGGCGUACUGCUCAGUAACACGUGGAUAACCUGCCCUUGGGUCCGGCAUAACCCCGGGAAACUGGGGAUAAUUCCGGAUAACGCACAUAUGCUGGAAUGCUUUAUGCGUAAAAUGGAUUCGUCUGCCCAAGGAUGGGUCUGCGGCCUAUCAGGUAGUAGUGGGUGUAAUGUACCUACUAGCCUACGACGGGUACGGGUUGUGAGAGCAAGAGCCCGGAGAUGGAUUCUGAGACAUGAAUCCAGGCCCUACGGGGCGCAGCAGGCGCGAAAACUUUACAAUGCGGGAAACCGUGAUAAGGGGACACCGAGUGCCAGCAUCCUAUGCUGGCUGUCCGGGUGUGUAAAAUACACCUGUUAGCAAGGGCCGGGCAAGACCGGUGCCAGCCGCCGCGGUAACACCGGCGGCCCGAGUGGUGAUCGUGAUUAUUGGGUCUAAAGGGUCCGUAGCCGGUUUGGUCAGUCCUCCGGGAAAUCUGACAGCUUAACUGUUAGGCUUUCGGAGGAUACUGCCAGACUUGGAACCGGGAGAGGUAAGAGGUACUACAGGGGUAGGAGUGAAAUCUUGUAAUCCCUGUGGGACCACCUGUGGCGAAGGCGUCUUACCAGAACGGGCUCGACGGUGAGGGACGAAAGCUGGGGGCACGAACCGGAUUAGAUACCCGGGUAGUCCCAGCCGUAAACGAUGCUCGCUAGGUGUCAGGCAUGGCGCGACCGUGUCUGGUGCCGCAGGGAAGCCGUGAAGCGAGCCACCUGGGAAGUACGGCCGCAAGGCUGAAACUUAA